AUUGAACGCUGGCGGAAUGCUUUACACAUGCAAGUCGAACGGCAGCACGGACUUCGGUCUGGUGGCGAGUGGCGAACGGGUGAGUAAUGUAUCGGAACGUGCCCAGUCGUGGGGGAUAACGUAGUGAAAAUUACGCUAAUACCGCAUACGAUCUAUGGAUGAAAGCGGGGGAUCGCAAGACCUCGCGCGAUUGGAGCGGCCGAUAUCAGAUUAGGUAGUUGGUGGGGUAAAGGCCCACCAAGCCAACGAUCUGUAGCUGGUCUGAGAGGACGACCAGCCACACUGGAACUGAGACACGGUCCAGACUCCUAGGGGAGGCAGCAGUGGGGAAUUUUGGACAAUGGGCGAAAGCCUGAUCCAGCCAUUCCGCGUGUAGGAUGAAGGCCCUCGGGUUGUAAACUGCUUUUGUACAGAACGAAAAGGUUUCUACUAAUACUAGGAGCUCAUGACGGUACUGUAAGAAUAAGCACCGGCUAACUACGUGCCAGCAGCCGCCGUAA
rnacentral:rRNA from 1 species